GUGCGUUUUGAAGUGCUGAGAACAACAUCUCAAAAGAUGACAAAACUUUUUGUGGGGUUCCUUUUACCCACGGACAUUUUUUACCAUUUUCCUGGAAAUGCCGGAAUAGAAACUAGAUUUAUCGAGCUGCCUGGAGUGGAGUGGAGCCACCGACAUUGCAGAUCUUGGUGGCAGUAGCAAAAUAAACGUGUGAAGACGUAUCUCUUUGGUUUCCCGGUCGUACUGUGUCGUCCUCCCGCCCCUCCUUCCUCAAACGGCCGGCAGGGCCGAAUCGCUUCCGAUUGGCUACGAAGCUAUUCGGCUGUCACGUGACCAAAACCCGAAGACUGAAGUAAUGCUGCGCCGACUGUACGAGCGCAGCCCAGCCCAGCCGUGGUCAGUGUCAGUGAGCCGCUCAGCUGCCCUAUUCACCUCCGCGAUCCUCCGCGACUAGACCGUGCUCGAAAAGAACUCUCCAGUGUACAAGUGUUGUGCGUCGCCGUUCUCAGCGCGUGCUGCCAUGCGCCAUGCGGUCCCCGGCUGGAGUGCACGAGCCCUUCCAGCCGGCACGGUCAAGCGUUCUGCGUCGAGAAACAACAGAUCAUCCUGCUUGUGUUCGACUGUUGAGGGACCAAGACUUGGCCGCGCUUUCCUCUGCAUAAGUGGAAGCCGGGUCGCCGUGGACGUCUGGAGCCGGCUGCGAUGAGGUGUGGGCGAGUCACUCUACCGCCGCGGGACCCGCUGUGCCGUUCCGCAGUUUUAGCCAGCGGCAUCUCACGGUAACCAGCGUCAUCAGAGGUUAUAGCGUCAGAUAGGGCCUUUGGCUGCUGGGGUCUAGGGUUCAGGGGUUAGGUUCCCAUUCCCACCUAGAGUCCUUCACACAUUCACAACACACUCACAACACACGACCGGUACGACAGUCGCGGCGUAAAACGGAACGAGACUACAAGUCGCGAGCGGCGCGAGCGUGGUUGUUGUCAAGCUCAUCGUCUUUGGAAGAGAGAAGAGAGUAAACAAAAUUGAAGAUGUUGAAGACGCAUUGGCUUGCCGGUAAUCAGCCCCAUUUUCCUGCUUUGCCGUUUGACUUUCGGAUUGUUUCCCCUCUCAUGGUGGUUUUGUUCGCAGGAUAUGUACUCGCUCACUGGAGCGGACAGCAGGCUGAUGCUCGCCCUGCACUGCUGCUGGCUCCAGCCGAGGAAAAGACGGUUAGUUGGUGUGGUGUGGGAUGAAGUCGCAGCGUAUUUGAUUAUGUGUUGGGUCUCGCAUGACAGUCUGUUGCAGUUCUCUGCUCGGCCGGCGGCCGGACCUCGCCGCGACUCUGCCUGCUCGUCUCCCGUGGACAGCUGGACCAGCUCG